rnacentral:tRNA from 1 species
UCCCUGGUGGCUCAGGUGGUAAAGCAUCUGCCUGCAAUGUGGGAGACCUGGGUUCGAUCCCUGGGUGGGGAA